rnacentral:tRNA from 1 species
UGGCCUAGUGAUUAAGGCUAUGGAUCGCCAAUCCGGAGACGGCGGGUUCGAUUCCCGU